rnacentral:rRNA from 1 species
UAGGGAAUAUUGGGCAAUGGAGGCAACUCUGACCCAGCCAUGCCGCGUGCAGGAAGAAGGCCUUCUGGGUUGUAAACUGCUUUUGAUCGGGAACAAAAAGACCUUGCGAGGUAAAUUGAGUGUACCGAUAGAAUAAGCACCGGCUAACUCCGUGCCAGCAGCCGCGGUAAUACGGAGGGUGCAAGCGUUGUCCGGAUUUAUUGGGUUUAAAGGGUGCGUAGGCGGUCCUUUAAGUCAGUGGUGAAAGCCAACAGCUCAACUGUUGAACUGCCAUUGAUACUGGAGGACUUGAGUACAGACGAGGUAGGCGGAAUUGACGGUGUAGCGGUGAAAUGCAUAGAUAUCGUCAAGAACACCGAUUGCGAAGGCAGCUUACUAGACUGUAACUGACGCUGAGGCACGAAAGUGUGGGGAUCAAACA